CAGCAAGGAUCGCAAGACUUUAAGCAACCUGAUAUAACUUCAGAAUUAGCCCUGUUUUGCAUGGGAGGUUGGACUAGAGACCUUUGGCUGUCCUUUCCUACCACAGUUUUGCUAUGACUCUGUGAGCCCUACAUGGCCAGUGUUAGAAAUAUGUUCCUGCCAUCUCCAUAUAUCUGCUUUUGUGCACAGAUUCAUGUGUUUCUCUGAAAACGAUGAAGAAUCUGUUUAAGCUCAACAGCUCAGGAAAUGUGAGACCAAAAAAGCAUGUGACAAUGCAGAACACAGUGUUCAGAUCACAGAUGACUGAAAAAAAGACUGUCACAUCAGCAGCUUUUUCACCAGUGUGCAAAAAAGAACUUUACAAAUCCUGCUCAAAGCCUCACAACACACGAGUGGGACAAGGAACCAUUAUCUUUAUUUUACAGAUUAAAAAGCAAAAGCUCAGAAAACCUGGGAUGCAUGCACAGUUACUCAGAGCAAAUGCUCCCGAGGUCCUCCUUGAAGAGCGAGGCCUGGAGACAUCAACAGCUGCUCAGUCUUAAGGGAUCCAAUUUGUUUGUGUGGAGAGCUGCAUGUCUGAAGAAACCUUCAGGGAAUACCCAUUUGUUUUGAGGAUGCAGAGAACAGGAAGAGCUGAUUCCUGGAGGAAGCCAACAAAUCCUUUGCAAAUCCGCUUUGUGCCUGCACAAGCUGUAUGUAGGAAAGCUUGCUUAUUGUAAUGCCCUCUCCUGGCUGGGAAAAAGUCUAUUAGUUGUGUCCCCGUCCCUCUAGCGUGACAGUCCUAUAGCUCAAAGGGGAAGGAGGCAUUUUGUGAUCUCCUGGUGCUAAAAUUAAAUGCAUUUAAAUU